CCUACGGGAGACAGCAGUGGGGAAUAUUGGGCAAUGGGCGCAAGCCUGACCCAGCAACGCCGCGUGAAGGAAGAAGGCUCUCGGGUUGUAAACUUCUUUUCUCAGGGACGAAGAAUGUGACGGUACCUGAGGAAUAAGCCACGGCUAACUACGUGCCCGCAGUCGCGGUAAUACGUAGGUGGCAAGCGUUAUCCGGAUUUAUUGGGUGUAAAGGGCGUGUAGGCGGGAGCGCAAGUGUGAUGUGAAAACUCAGGGCUCAACCCUGAGCCUGCGUUGGAAACUGUGGUGCUUGAGUGCGGGGGAGGCAAUCGGAAUUCCGGGUGUAGCGGUGAAAUGCGUAGAUAUACGGAGGAACACCAAUGGCGAAGGCGGAUUGCUGGACAGUAACUGACGCUGAAGCGCGAAGGCGUGGGGAGCGAACAGGAUUAGAUACCCCAGUAGUC
rnacentral:rRNA from 1 species